rnacentral:sRNA from 1 species
CUGCUAGUUGAGUGCUAUACGAGUGUGCUCUAUAGCUUCGUUUCCAAAUAAGAACGCCGCAGGUCUUGGAUGACCACGGAAAAAUUUCUUUUUCAAAAUGGCCAGAGUUGCUCGAAGACUGCUGUAUCCCAGCCAAGAUGAGGCCCGUACCCGGCGAUGAAUUCUGCCUUCACCCCACGAAGCGUUGAUUUCGCUUCAUCGUAGUUCUCAUGCUCCACUACGCCUUUCUCCAGCCAGAGACUCCUAGUCGCUGCUCAAUCGUCUUCAUGGUUCUGAACUUCAGCGAGAAGUGAGGAAUGCCAGCAUCUGCCCACUCAGCCCGAAGAUCCAGAAGAAAGGCACAAAAAUGGGCCUUGCCCUGUUCAAAUAUCCGGCGGGAAAGACGAGGUAGAUUACCGCUUGCCGACUGU